AUACAAAUGCUUUAGAUUUAUAUUAAUACAGUACAAAAUAAAGUAAUAAUUAAAAUAAUUAGAAUAAUAUUGAGAAUAGUGAUUUUGAGUAAAAUCAAAAUAUUACUAUGAUUAAUUUAAUUUUUCUAUAUUUAAUACUUUGAAAAUAUGUUAAUUAAAACUAGGAUUAGAUACCCUACUAUUCAUUAAAUUAAAUUUUUUUUUUGCUUAAGUAGUAUUAUAUAUUAUUAUAAAUAUUUAUUAAUAUUGAAACUUAAAAAGCUUGGCGGUACUAUAUAUCCAUUUAGGGGAGCUUGUUUAUUAAUUUGAUAAUCCUCAAUUUACACUUACUUUUUCUUGAAAUAAUUCAGUUUGUGUAUUGCUGUCGUCAGUUUAUUUUGUAAAAUUAUAAAGAACAUGAUAGUAAAAUUUACUUGU
rnacentral:rRNA from 1 species